GUAAAAUGUUAUUCAUGGUGAUGAAUGAAUUUCUGGCUAAACUAAGAAACAUUUGGAGUGGCUCCAGCACUUUUAACACGCAGAUCUGAAAAAUAAUAAACAUUACUACAGAGAUGCUUUAGGCUGUAGCAAGUAACCUGUUGUACUGGAUACCAGCAGCCAUCGAAGGAGAAUUUGAUACACACUGUUGAAAAAUGGAGGCAUAAAACUGUUGCCUGAGUGGAGAGUCCUUGAUAUGUGUACCUCUGAUCUAAUUGUUAUCCUUUCAAAUCGUCUUUUGAGAAUUUAAGGGAGGCUUAUGUGAUUUUUUUUUUCUCAGUCCUGUGCUGGACUUUCACAAAGGAGUGAUUUUCACCCUCAAUUCCACAGAACGAGCUUGUUGGAGUUGUGGGUUUAGGAUGUGAAUUUUCUUAGACAUCUUCUGAGGGAGGCCGUGAAGUGCUAUAGAUCUUACAGUUGUGUUACAGGAUGCAUGUACAGUAUGAAUCUGCCUCAAAUUGGAAGGAAUGACUUUUCCACCUUUGCUGUUUUACUAGGUACGAACACAGCAAAAGUGCUUGUAGGUUUCUGUCAGACAUUUUGCUACGUACAGCUUCUUUCUUGUAUUCAAAAACCAGUGGUAACUUAAACACAGUUCACUGCUAACACGAAACAAGGCUGGUAGUAUAACAUACAUCUCUUCAGAAUGAAGAAUUCUUACAGUUUCUUCUGAUUGCUUUCAAUGAAUGUCUCGAGGACAGUCUUGCCCUCUACUGCAGAAGGGAAGACGGUGGCAAGGUUUGUCAGUUUAGCCUGUUUUGAGGAAAGGACUAUAGAUCAGCCUGGGGAAAGGGGCGGGGUGUUGCUGUGAAUCUACCAAGUCACUUCGUGAUGCUCUUGCAUUCCAUUUAUCAUGAAAGGAAAUAGUGCACUGUGCAAGGCUUGUAGCUGAAACUGGUUCUGCUUUGCUUAUUUCUCAAUGGGUGAAUUGCAUCAGUGGUGGUAUAAAAGCUUUGUCUUGUUUUGGAUGAUGCACGCAGGUGGCCUCCUUGUCAUCCUUAACAUCUCUUGAAAGAAAAGGAGUCCUACCUGGGCUACCACGGACUGUAUGUGUCCCGAAGUGUAAGUCCCUGUGGCUCCGUUCACUGUGUGGAGCUCCAGGGACCCAUUCAAGUUGAGAAUCCGGACCAAAGCAUCUGCUGCAUUUCUGUUAGUGUGGUCUUUGUUUUUGUUUUGUUUUGUUUGCAUUUACUUAAUUAUUUUUCUUGAGGAGGUUGGAGGUUGAAGAUGAGAUAGUCAAGGUCCUAAGAUACUUAUUAAAGCUUAAAAGUAUUGUAAUUGUGUUAGAUUCUCAGGCAUGACAAACCUCUUUUUUUUUUUUUUUAUUUAUUUAUUUGUCCACCAUCAUAUAGCCUGAUGCAAUCUUUCAUUUGAGAAGUGUGAGAUUUCCAAGAUCACCAGAACAGUGGCCCCUGGGCAGAAUUCCCUUGGAGGAGGCCUUCAGUUAGUGACCUCUGUCUAAGUUUCUGUGUGAGGUAAACCAUGCUGGAGGAACAAAUUUGGACUAUGAAGAGAAUGAAGCCAUUUUCUAAGAAUAUUCUUCACCUGCACAAGAUACCGAUGAGCCAAGUAUCUUAUUCUACUGGCAGAUGAGACCUCAGGCUGCAUCUUGUCUUCCAUCAUAAUGGAAUCCACUGUACAGGAGCACUUGAGGUGGCACCGCUUGGUAAUAUUUGUUUUACUAUACAAAGGUAAUAGGCUGAUGCUUCCCAGAAUUGCUGGGCUGGCUAAGGCUCUGGUAAACCCUGUAUGUGCCUCAAGGAAAACCGUACACGCUUCACAGGGGUCCAGGAAAGUAGGUGAGUGAGGGUAGACUACCAUGAUCAGAAAAAUGGCUAAUGCUUAUAAGAAUCUUGUUGCUUGAGGACCAUUCCCUGUUCACUUGUCAUUAAUAAGGAGCGAGCAAAGUUGAAUGAAUUGUCUAGCAAGGUUUUUGAGCUGCGUAUCCCUUUCAUAAACCUGGGGCUUAGCUGGAACUUUCUGAAGCACUUGUGAAUUGGAGUAGAGCCUUUGACUGUCAGCUUCUGAAGUCUCUUUUUUUAGGUCAGAUUGCUAGCUGCAGACCACCAA